AUAGAAAUGGCUGUGGUGAGGAAGUCUACAACCAUCCUCUGAAUUAGAGAGGGAAAGAGGGAAUGCAGGGCAAGAAUAGGACCCUGGGAAUCUGACCCAGAGGGAAGGGUAUACCCAGGAAAAAGGGGGGGUAGGGAAGAGAGCCUUCAGGAAGCGUGUAGGAAGCAGCCCUCCAGAGAGAGAACAGCAAGGCUGUGGAUUGAGCAGAGCUUGGCUGUGUGUUGUAAAGCCCCUGGGCUAGAACCUGGAGUAGUGAGCUGACCCUAGGUUACCCUACUAGUCACUGAUGGAGUGGCAUUGCCUGGCCAGUAGGUCCAGUGAGACUCUAUACCCUCAAUGGAGAAACCACCUAGUGACCUGGCUGAAGGGCUAAAUCAUGAGGAGGAAACUGCAGUUCCUGAAAUGAAAGAGGGUCCGCAGAGUGAGAGAGGGCAAUGGGUGGAGAGACUGCAAAGAGAGGUGUUGGACCUGGAAGAGAGCUAAUCCCCAGAACAACCAAGAGGAGUUGCACCAGGGAAGUUCUGAGCAUAUAGAGAUUCCACUGAAGUCAACAUAGAUUCACCAAGGGUACCAGUCUCUCUUAACCAGCCCCAGAAGUCUACAAGUGCACCCCUUAUUAACGUGGAUGUUUUAGGUGAGGCUCAGGAGUUGAUGGCAUUGAAUGAAUGUCUAAGGAUUAAUGAUGGACUCCUGAACAAAGAGGAGACUGCAACUGAAACAUGAACUUCUAGGAACAUUCAGAGAGCUUGUUUCACUUCUAUUUAUGUGAGUCAAAACAAUAGAAUUCAGUCUGCAAACCCCAUUGGAGAGUGAACUCUACAGGGUUUGCACAGUUCUUGUCACUUACAGCUAACUCCUGUGAUGCCCACCUUCGUUAACCAAGCAACUAACAAGAUGCUACUUGCAAGCCUGCAGACAGACUUAUGAUCUAUUAUACUGCCUGAGAAAUAGUUUGUGACCAUGUCACUGAAGACUAACAUAAUGCACGCAGAAAGGAGGAGAGUUAAUGUGACAUGUGAAAUCCUAACUCUACGUUUUCUGAUUUUGACUGUCUAACUUUUUAAAGGAAUUUGUGUUUUAUCAAUCCAUAAUAUGGAAGAAUUUGGCUAGAGACCAACAGAACUCCUUUCUUAUAUAACUCCAGUCCAAUAACCCAAUUCUCCACUACACAAGGUGUGAGGCACUCUGCACGUAAGUACGAAACACUACCAAAUCAAAAUUCUCCGCUCACCUACCCAGGUGAUGUUUUAUACCCACUCUGCAUAGAUGAAAAUGACUACAGAAGGACACAGCACUGUAGAUUUAGAUCCAAUGUGCAUAUUGAAUAAAACAUUCACUAUGAGAACCUAUUUCAUACUCAAUGAAGCAACUUUUCAUCUUGCAUUGGGUUCAGAAUCUCUGAUGUUAUGAAAGUUUUGAGUACACGACAGGUUCAGGAGUCCUGCUUUAUUUAAGGUGCAUGUUGCCUAGGAACCUAUAGAGCCUUGUAAUGCCCACAUGAGAAACUCUAAAUGGGGCACAAAUCCCUACAGCAUUCAGGGCUCAGUUGUUUGAGGCCCAUGGGACUUCCCUGGAUUUUGCCUCAGGGAUCUUAGAAUGAUGCAAUUCACUCCCAUCUGUGCAAUGGCCACACCAUUCCUUCUUGGUGACUUGGCCUCCUACUCAAAAUCAUAGUGGUGAAGAGGGUUAGAAAGAGUUUUGAGCAAUUGAAAACGGGAAAGAGGGGGUAUUAAAACACUUCAGCAACCUUAAGUGUAAUCUCGGCUCCAGGGGUUAUAUAUACCUGGCAUAUUUGGUGAUUUAAGAAUGGUCUACACCUUCUCAGCACAGCCUCCUGCAAGAACAAAAGCAAUACAGGAGAAAAACAUCCCUUCUAAUUCCUGAGGCUUUAAUAUAAACAUUUCUACAUUAGUAAUUGUGACACAAUGACAUUGUUUUACAAAAAUACAACACCUAAUAAAUAAUAAUUUCAAUAAAGAAUAAAAAUUCUGAAAGAUAGAAAAUUCAGACUUUAGGAGAUGAAUGGGAAUUAGUAUGCAUCCUAGCUGAGAACAGUUAUCUUGCCAUUCCCUGCACUCCUAAUUUUAAUAUAGCAGGAAGAAUAGGAGCACUAAGUAAAUGUAUGUGGACAAAAUUGGAAAGGGACCAUGCAUAAAUUAUCUUAUGGAGUUAUUUUAUCAUCUAAAAUGAUGGUACUGUAGUGUUAACUAAGUUUGAGCUCCCAGAGCAAUACAGUUCUUCUAUGACAAUCAAUUACUUAUGAU